rnacentral:rRNA from 1 species
GACGAACCGUGCGAACGUUAUUCGGAAUCAUUGGGCUUAAAGGGCGCGUAGGCGGGCGACCGCGUCGAGUGCUGAAAUCCCCCGGCUCAACCGGGGAAGGGGCCUCGAAACGGGUCGCCUCGAGGCGAGGAGGGGGACCUGGAACGUCCGGUGGAGCGGUGAAAUGCGUUGAGAUCGGACGGAACACCAACGGCGAAAGCAAGGUCCUGGACUCGUACUGACGCUGAGGCGCGAAAGCCAGGGGAGCGAACAGG